GCGGAGGAAAAGAAACCAACAGGGAUUGCCCUAGUAACGGCGAGUGAAGCGGCAACAGCUCAAAUUUGAAAUCUGGCCUUCUGGUCCGAAUUGUAAUUUGUAGAGGAUGACUUUGGUUAGGUACCUUCCGAGUUCCUUGGAACAGGACGCCUUAGAGGGUGAGAGCCCCGUACGGUUGGAUGCCGAUCCUUUGUAAGUCUCCUUCGACGAGUCGAGUAGUUUGGGAAUGCUGCUCUAAAUGGGAGGUAAAUUUCUUCUAAAGCUAAAUACCGGCCAGAGACCGAUAGCGCACAAGUAGAGUGAUCGAAAGAUGAAAAGCACUUUGAAAAGAGGGUUAAAUAGUACGUGAAAUUGUUGAAAGGGAAGGGUUUAUGACCAGACCUUUGCGUUGGGAAUCAUCCGGUGUUCUCACCGGUGCACUUCCCUUCGUUGAGGCCAGCAUCAGUUCUAGUUGGGGGAUAAAGACAUUAGGAAUGUGAUUCCUCCGGGAAUGUUAUAGCCUUUUGUGUAAUACCCUGACCGGGACUGAGGACCGCGCUUCGGCUAGGAUGCUGGCAUAAUGGUCAUCAGCCACCCGUCUUGAAACACGGACCAAGGAGUCGAACAUUUAUGCGAGUGUUUGGGUGUUAAACCCUCACGCGUAAUGAAAGUGAACGGAGGUGAGAGCCCUUACGGGUGCAUCAUCGACCGAUCCUGAUGUCUUCGGAUGGAUUUGAGUAAGAGCAUAACUGUUCGGACCCGAAAGAUGGUGAACUAUGCGUGGAUAGGGUGAAGCCAGAGGAAACUCUGGUGGAGGCUCGCAGCGGUUCUGACGUGCAAAUCGAUCGUCAAAUCUGCGCAUGGGGGCGAAAGACUAAUCGAACCAUC
rnacentral:misc_RNA from 1 species